AUGGAAGUGGCAUUCGUUCCGUGUUCACAAGAUCAUUAUGGUGAUCUGUACGGCUUAACGGAGUGCUUCCGAUGCCCAAGACGGACGUACACAAACACGGGAGCUUCCACGUUAAAUUCAUGCAAAGGUGAUCUUGCUGAAAAAAAGGAACAGGAUGGAAAUGUAUUUUCAAUAAAAAUUGAAGUCGUGGUAGGUGUAAACGAGAGAGGACUAAAUAAUGAUGCAA
rnacentral:lncRNA from 1 species